CGGGCAAAUUGAAUGCGCGC
rnacentral:miRNA from 1 species